GUGAGGAAUAUUGGUCAAUGGGCGUAAGCCUGAACCAGCCAAGUCGCGUGAGGGAUGAAGGUUCUAUGGAUCGUAAACCUCUUUUAUAAGGGAAUAAAGUGCGGGACGUGUCCCGUUUUGUAUGUACCUUAUGAAUAAGGAUCGGCUAACUCCGUGCCAGCAGCCGCGGUAAUACGGAGGAUCCGAGCGUUAUCCGGAUUUAUUGGGUUUAAAGGGUGCGUAGGCGGCCUUUUAAGUCAGCGGUGAAAGUCUGUGGCUCAACCAUAGAAUUGCCGUUGAAACUGGGGGGCUUGAGUAUGUUUGAGGCAGGCGGAAUGCGUGGUGUAGCGGUGAAAUGCAUAGAUAUCACGCAGAACCCCGAUUGCGAAGGCAGCCUGCCAAGCCAUGACUGACGCUGAUGCACGAAAGCGUGGGGAUCAAACAGG
rnacentral:rRNA from 1 species